rnacentral:rRNA from 1 species
UUAAGCGACUAAGCGUACACGGUGGAUGCCCUGGCAGUCAGAGGCGAUGAAGGACGUGCUAAUCUGCGAAAAGCGUCGGUAAGGUGAUAUGAACCGUUAUAACCGGCGAUGUCCGAAUGGGGAAACCCAGUGCAAUUCGUUGCACUAUCGUUAACUGAAUACAUAGGUUAACGAGGCGAACCGGGGGAACUGAAACAUCUAAGUACCCCGAGGAAAAGAAAUCAACCGAGAUUCCCCCAGUAGCGGCGAGCGAACGGGGAGCAGCCCAGAGUCUGAAUCAGCUUGUGUGUUAGUGGAACGGUCUGGAAAGUCCGACGGUACAGGGUGAUAGUCCCGUACACCAAAAUGCACAGGCUGUGAACUCGAAGAGUAGGGCGGGACACGUGGUAUCCUGUCUGAAUAUGGGGGGACCAUCCUCCAAGGCUAAAUACUCCUGACUGACCGAUAGUGAACCAGUACCGUGAGGGAAAGGCGAAAAGAACCCCGGCGAGGGGAGUGAAAAAGAACCUGAAACCGUGUACGUACAAGCAGUGGGAGCACCUUCGGGUGUGACUGCGUACCUUUUGUAUAAUGGGUCAGCGACUUAUAUUCUGUAGCAAGGUUAACCGUAUAGGGGAGCCGCAGGGAAACCGAGUCUUAACUGGGCGUUAAGUUGCAGGGUAUAGACCCGAAACCCGGUGAUCUAGCCAUGGGCAGGUUGAAGGUUGGGUAACACUAACUGGAGGACCGAACCGACUAAUGUUGAAAAAUUAGCGGAUGACUUGUGGCUGGGGGUGAAAGGCCAAUCAAACCGGGAGAUAGCUGGUUCUCCCCGAAAGCUAUUUAGGUAGCGCCUCGUGAAUUCAUCUUCGGGGGUAGAGCACUGUUUCGGCUAGGGGGUCAUCCCGACUUACCAACCCGAUGCAAACUACGAAUACCGAAGAAUGUUAUCACGGGAGACACACGGCGGGUGCUAACGUCCGUCGUGAAGAGGGAAACAACCCAGACCGCCAGCUAAGGUCCCAAAGUCAUGGUUAAGUGGGAAACGAUGUGGGAAGGCACAGACAGCCAGGAUGUUGGCUUAGAAGCAGCCAUCAUUUAAAGAAAGCGUAAUAGCUCACUGGUCGAGUCGGCCUGCGCGGAAGAUGUAACGGGGCUAAACCAUGCACCGAAGCUGCGGCAGCGACACUAUGUGUUGUUGGGUAGGGGAGCGUUCUGUAAGCCUGCGAAGGUGACCUGUGAGGGUUGCUGGAGGUAUCAGAAGUGCGAAUGCUGACAUAAGUAACGAUAAAGCGGGUGAAAAGCCCGCUCGCCGGAAGACCAAGGGUUCCUGUCCAACGUUAAUCGGGGCAGGGUGAGUCGACCCCUAAGGCGAGGCCGAAAGGCGUAGUCGAUGGGAAACAGGUUAAUAUUCCUGUACUUGGUGUUACUGCGAAGGGGGGACGGAGAAGGCUAUGUUAGCCGGGCGACGGUUGUCCCGGUUUAAGCAUGUAGGCUGGUUGUCCAGGCAAAUCCGGAUAAUCAAGGCUGAGGUGUGAUGACGAGGUACUACGGUGCUGAAGUAACAAAUGCCCUGCUUCCAGGAAAAGCCUCUAAGCAUCAGGUAACAUCAAAUCGUACCCCAAACCGACACAGGUGGUCAGGUAGAGAAUACCAAGGCGCUUGAGAGAACUCGGGUGAAGGAACUAGGCAAAAUGGUGCCGUAACUUCGGGAGAAGGCACGCUGGUGUGUAGGUGAAGUCCCUGCGGAUGGAGCUGAGACCAGUCGAAGAUACCAGCUGGCUGCAACUGUUUAUUAAAAACACAGCACUGUGCAAACACGAAAGUGGACGUAUACGGUGUGACGCCUGCCCGGUGCCGGAAGGUUAAUUGAUGGGGUUAUCCGUAAGGAGAAGCUCUUGAUCGAAGCCCCGGUAAACGGCGGCCGUAACUAUAACGGUCCUAAGGUAGCGAAAUUCCUUGUCGGGUAAGUUCCGACCUGCACGAAUGGCGUAAUGAUGGCCAGGCUGUCUCCACCCGAGACUCAGUGAAAUUGAACUCGCUGUGAAGAUGCAGUGUACCCGCGGCAAGACGGAAAGACCCCGUGAACCUUUACUAUAGCUUGACACUGAACAUUGAGCCUUGAUGUGUAGGAUAGGUGGGAGGCUUUGAAGCGUGGACGCCAGUCUGCGUGGAGCCAACCUUGAAAUACCACCCUUUAAUGUUUGAUGUUCUAACGUUGGCCCCUGACCGGGGUUGCGGACAGUGUCUGGUGGGUAGUUUGACUGGGGCGGUCUCCUCCCAAAGCGUAACGGAGGAGCACGAAGGUUAGCUAAUCCUGGUCGGACAUCAGGAGGUUAGUGCAAUGGCAUAAGCUAGCUUGACUGCGAGCGUGACGGCGCGAGCAGGUGCGAAAGCAGGUCAUAGUGAUCCGGUGGUUCUGAAUGGAAGGGCCAUCGCUCAACGGAUAAAAGGUACUCCGGGGAUAACAGGCUGAUACCGCCCAAGAGUUCAUAUCGACGGCGGUGUUUGGCACCUCGAUGUCGGCUCAUCACAUCCUGGGGCUGAAGUAGGUCCCAAGGGUAUGGCUGUUCGCCAUUUAAAGUGGUACGCGAGCUGGGUUUAGAACGUCGUGAGACAGUUCGGUCCCUAUCUGCCGUGGGCGCUGGAGAAUUGAGGGGGGCUGCUCCUAGUACGAGAGGACCGGAGUGGACGCAUCACUGGUGUUCGGGUUGUCAUGCCAAUGGCACUGCCCGGUAGCUAAAUGCGGAAGAGAUAAGUGCUGAAAGCAUCUAAGCACGAAACUUGCCCCGAGAUGAGUUCUCCCUGAGACUUUAAGUCUCCUGAAGGAACGUUGAAGACGACGACGUUGAUAGGCCGGGUGUGUAAGCGCAGCGAUGCGUUGAGCUAACCGGUACUAAUGAACCGUGAGGCUUAACCUU